AACGAACGCUGGCGGCGUGCCUAACACAUGCAAGUCGUGCGAGAAAGUUCCUUCGGGAGCGAGUAAAGCGGCGCACGGGUGAGUAACACGUAGGUAACCUGCCCCCCAGUCUGGAACAACUAGAGGAAACUCUAGCUAAUGCCGGAUGAGACCACGAUCCCUUCGGGGGUUGCGGCCAAAGAUGGCCUCUACUUGUAAGCUAUCGCUGAGGGAUGGGCCUGCGGGCCAUUAGCUUGUUGGUGAGGUAACGGCUCACCAAGGCUGUGAUGGCUAGCUGGUCUGAGAGGAUGACCAGCCACACUGGGACUGAGACACGGCCCAGACUCCUACGGGAGGCAGCAGUGGGGAAUAUUGCGCAAGUGGCGAAAGCCUGACGCAGCGACGCCGCGGU
rnacentral:rRNA from 1 species